GGCCAAGUUUUUAAGGGCGCACGGUGGAUGCCUUGGCACCAGGAACCGAUGAAGGACGUGGGAGGCCACGAUAGGCCCCGGGGAGCUGUCAACCGAGCUUUGAUCCGGGGGUGUCCGAAUGGGGAAACCCGGCAGUCGUCAUGGGCUGUCACCCGCUGCUGAACACAUAGGCAGUGUGGAGGGAACGCGGGGAAGUGAAACAUCUCAGUACCCGCAGGAAGAGAAAACAACCGUGAUUCCGGGAGUAGUGGCGAGCGAAACUGGAUGAGGCUAAACCGUAUGUGUGUGAUACCCGGCAGGGGUUGCGCAUGCGGGGUUGUGGGAGUGUGCUUGAUCAGUCUGCCGGCUGGUCGGAGAGUCAGAAACCGUAUGGAUAGGCGAAGGGCACCGAUAGCGGAUAGUACCGUGAGGGAAUGGUGAAAAGUACCGCGGGAGCGGAGUGAAAUAGUACCUGAAACCGUGUGCCUACAAGCCGUGGGAGCGUCAGACCCGAAGCGGAGUGAUCUAGCCAUGGGCAGGUUGAAGCGGAGGUAAGACUUCGUGGAGGACCGAACCCACCAGGGUUGAAAACCUGGGGGAUGACCUGUGGUUAGGGGUGAAAGGCCAAUCAAACUCCGUGAUAGCUGGUUCUCCCCGAAAUGCAUUUAGGUGCAGCGUCGUGUGUUUCUUGCCGGAGGUAGAGCACUGGAUAGGCGAUGGGCCCUACCGGGUUACUGACCUUAGCCAAACUCCGAAUGCCGGUAAGUGAGAGCGCGGCAGUGAGACUGUGGGGGAUAAGCUCCAUGGUCGAGAGGGAAACAGCCCAGAGCAUCGACUAAGGCCCCUAAGCGUACGCUAAGUGGGAAAGGAUGUGGAGUCGCAGAGACAACCAGGAGGUUGGCUUAGAAGCAGCCACCCUUGAAAGAGUGCGUAAUAGCUCACUGGUCAAGUGAUUCCGCGCCGACAAUGUAGCGGGGCUCAAGCGUACCGCCGAAGUCGUGUCAUUGCAGUACAUACCCCCAACGGGGACUGUGAUGGGUAGGGGAGCGUCGUGUGCCGGGUGAAGCAGCACCGGAAGGUAGUUGUGGACGGUUCACGAGUGAGAAUGCAGGCAUGAGUAGCGAUACAUGGGUCAAGCUGAUCUGCCCAGGGUAAGUCGGGACCUAAGGCGAGGCCGACAGGCGUAGUCGAUGGACAACCGGUUGAUAUUCCGGUACCCGCUUUGAAACGCCCAGUACUGAAUCAGGCGAUGCUAAGUCCGUGAAGCCGGCCCGAUCUCUUCGGAGUUGAGGGUAGUGGUGGAGCCGAUGAACCAGACUUGUAGUAGGUAAGCGAUGGGGUGACGCAGGAAGGUAGUCCAGCCCGGGCGGUGGUUGUCCCGGGGUAAGGGUGUAGGACGCACGGUAGGCAAAUCCGUCGUGCAUAUAAGUCUGAGACCUGAUGCCGAGCCGAUUGUGGUGAAGUGGAUGAUCCUAUGCUGUCGAGAAAAGCCUCUAGCGAGUUUCAUGGCGGCCCGUACCCUAAACCGA
rnacentral:ncRNA from 1 species